CCGAGUCUCAGAUGCGUUUCCCGUAAUCUGCCUCCGGCCCACGGGCCAAUCACGCGCCCAUCUCCUGUCUCUCGGUCCGGCUGUCCUGCUCCUGCCCAACGGGCAGCUGCCCGUCUCUGUAGGCCCGCGCAGGGCGCAAACGACCGCCGCGCCGCCGGUGCCACUUUCUUCUCCGGCCGCUUCUCGAUCGUCCCCCGUGGCUCGAGGCGGAUCUGGCCAUUUGCGGCUAAACCCUAGUUCCCUCCUGGCCUCCUUCCUUGCUUGGUGGAUCAACUUCCCUGCAAUAUAAAAGGAAAGGAAUAUAUAGCUGGAGUAUAGUAGAUUCUUAUACUAGGACAGUUCGAGGAUGAAUUCUUGUGAAGGCAAUGAGUUGGCUGCUGAAGGCUUCGCAUAAUCCACAUCCAUCGCUGAGACUAGCGGCGCUUUUGAGUUGUUCCGAUGUCGGUAUCCUGGUAGGGUUCCUAGCUACCUCGGAGGCGUGUAGCGAGCAGCCUUGAGUACCUCUGUAUUGGUGAGAAGAGCAAUGUGGGUCAAGCAACAGCGAUGAUAGGCGACGCUGACGGAUUGGUUCUGUGCUGCUUUCGAACUCAUGGUACGUAACGUAACGUGCGAUUGUGAAGCUUGGUGGAU